UGUUGAUCAGGAGACGGCAACUUUUAAAGGCCGAAAAUGACUACUGACAGAAUCAGAACACUCAAUCUGCAGUUUAAGAUUAUUUGUUUCUCGGCAGAGCAUACUAAACAACUGGCUGGAUUCAGAUUCUUUACUUGUGGCUUGAGACUGAGGUGAGGCGUCAAUGGAACUGGGAAUUGAAGGAACUUUUGGUGUCUGCAUCUGGGGUUACAGCUCUUGUAAAUUGGUGAUAAAAGAGGAUAUGACUUGUAGAUGACACAUUUUCUCUUUGUCGAAAAUUAAGGGACUGACUUGGAUUUAAACGCGACCGCUGGCAACCUAUAGCUCAAUCUUUGAAGGAGACAUAUUUUCGCAAAGUAGGAGUUUGUUGAUGUUAUAGUCACAACUUAAAAUCACCAGAACUGUAUUAUUGAUUUAUGUCUAUUAUUUUCCAAGAUUAACAUUUGUUGUGUCUGAUGAUGAUGAAAAAGACCGACUAUAUUGGUAUUAAAUGUGCAUAUGUGUUUUA